rnacentral:rRNA from 1 species
ACGGAAGGCAGCAGUGAGGAAUAUUGGUCAAUGGGCGAGAGCCUGAACCAGCCAAGUAGCGUGAGGGAUGACUGCCCUAUGGGUUGUAAACCUCUUUUAUACGGGAAUAAAGUGCGGCACGUGUGCCGCUUUGCAUGUACCGUAAGAAUAAGCAUCGGCUAAUUCCGUGCCAGCAGCCGCGGUAAUACGGAAGAUGCGAGCGUUAUCCGGAUUUAUUGGGUUUAAAGGGAGCGUAGGCGGAAGAUUAAGUCAGCCGUGAAAUCCCGUCGCUUAACGACGGAACUGCGGUUGAUACUGGUUUUCUUGAGUGCACAUAAGGAAGGUGGAAUUUGUGGUGUAGCGGUGAAAUGCUUAGAUAUCACGAAGAACUCCGAUUGCGAAGGCAGCCUUCUGGGGUGCAACUGACGCUGAGGCUCGAAAGUGCGGGUAUCAAACAGGAUUAGAUACCCUGGUA